rnacentral:rRNA from 1 species
AACGAACGCUGGCGGCAGGCCUAACACAUGCAAGUCGAGCGAGGUAGCAAUACCUAGCGGCGGACGGGUGAGUAACGCGUGGGAACGUACCCUUUGCUACGGAAUAGUCCUGGGAAACUGGGGGUAAUACCGUAUGUGCCCUUCGGGGGAAAGAUUUAUCGGCAAAGGAUCGGCCCGCGUUGGAUUAGGUAGUUGGUGGGGUAAUGGCCUACCAAGCCUACGAUCCAUAGCUGGUUUGAGAGGAUGAUCAGCCACACUGGGACUGAGACACGGCCCAGACUCCUACGGGAGGCAGCAGUGGGGAAUCUUAGACAAUGGGCGCAAGCCUGAUCUAGCCAUGCCGCGUGAGUGACGAAGGCCUUAGGGUUGUAAAGCUCUUUCAGCCGGGAAGAUAAUGACGGUACCAGCAGAAGAAGCCCCGGCUAACUCCGUG